UGGGGAGCUUGCCCUAGAAGUCUGCCAAGU
rnacentral:piRNA from 1 species